rnacentral:rRNA from 1 species
UACGUAGGGUGCGAGCGUUAAUCGGAAUUACUGGGCGUAAAGUGUGCGCAGGCGGCCGAGCAAGUCGAGUGUGAAAGCCCCGAGCUUAACUUGGGAAUUGCGCUCGAAACUACUUGGCUGGAGUGUGGCAGAGGGAGGUGGAAUUCCACGUGUAGCGGUGAAAUGCGUAGAGAUGUGGAGGAACACCAAUGGCGAAGGCAGCCUCCUGGGCCAACACUGACGCUCAUGCACGAAAGCGUGGGGAGCAAACAGG